AAUAUUGGACAAUGGGGGCAACCCUGAUCCAGCCAUGCCGCGUGUGUGAAGAAGGUCNNNGGAUUNUCAAGCACUUUAAGUUGNGAGNAAGGGCGCCAGGCUCAUAUCCUGACGUUUUGACGUUACCGACAGAAUAAGCACCGGCUAACUCUGGGCCAGCAGCCGCGGUAAUACAGAGGGUGCAAGCGUUAAUCGGAAUUACUGGGCGUAAAGCGCGCGUAGGUGGUUCAGUAAGAUGGGUGUGAAAUCCCCGGGCUCAACCUGGGAACUGCUUUCAUAACUGCUGAGCUAGAGUACGGUAGAGGGUAGUGGAAUUUCCUGUGUAGCGGUGAAAUGCGUAGAUAUAGGAAGGAACACCAGUGGCGAAGGCGACUACCUGGACUGAUACUGACACUGAGGUGCGAAAGCGUGGGGAGCAAACAG
rnacentral:rRNA from 1 species